rnacentral:rRNA from 1 species
CCUACGGGAGGCAGCAGUGGGGAAUAUUGCACAAUGGGGGAAACCCUGAUGCCGCGAUGCCGCGUGUGUGAAGAAGUAUUUCGGUAUGUAAAGCUCUAUCAGCAGGGAAGAAGAAAGAAGGUACCUGACUAAGAAGCCCCGGCUAACUACGUGCCAGCAGCCGCGGUAAUACGUAGGGGGCAAGCGUUAUCCGGAUUUACUGGGUGUAAAGGGAGCGUAGACGGCUGUGUAAGUCAGAAGUGAAAGCCCAGGGCUCAACCCUGGGACUGCGUUGGAUACUGGGGAGCUAGAGUGCUGGAGAGGUGGGUGGAAUUCCUGGUGUAGCGGGGAAAUGCGUAGAGAUUAGGAGGAACACCAGUGGCGAAGGCGGCUUACUGGACGGUAACUGACGUUGAGGCUCGAAAGCGUGGGGAGCAAACAGGAUUAGAUACCCCAGUAGUC